rnacentral:ncRNA from 1 species
UUAAAGGCUCUGAGCAGAAUUAAGUAAGUCAGUAGUUUCGCCAGAGAGAAGAUGCCGGAGGCUGAAAGCAGCUUCAUUAAACUGACUGAAUUGCAUCUGUGAGCUGUAUGCCCGAAGCAGUAAGUAGGGUGUAACGUUUAGUAAGCGUUAAUUACUUUAAGUGAAUCAGAUUUGAUUUCUAGUCUGAUUAAACAGAGUGGAACCGCGCCCUUACGUCUCUGUA